GUCUCAAUAGCUCAGUGGUUAAAGCGCUGGCAUGGUACGCCAGAGGACACUGGUCGAGACU
rnacentral:tRNA from 1 species